UUAAAGCAAUGAUCCAGUACUUCUUGGAGCAUGAGGUUCCACCUGCUGUACUCACGUAAAUGAUGAACUGGAUUGCCGAUAAGAACACAGACAACGAGGUUUGAGAAAAUGCAUUUCAGCCAUUAUCCAAGGCCUUUUUCCAGGAGUUGACUGAACCAAGUUCAUGGGUUGAGUGUGAUACCCUAAAUAUCCUAUUUCAGUUCGUAAAAGAUAAUUUUUAUAGACGACCAGAAAUGUAUAUGAACAGCUUCACCAUCCUGCCAAUUGGAGUAACGAGUCACCUUAAUGCUCGAAAUGGGGUCUACAAACAUAUUAAGAACAAGUCGACUUUUCAUGCUGCCGUAGUAUGGGAGGAAGAGACGUAUCUGGAUUAUGUCAUGGGUAAAUUCGACAUCAAGUGGUCAGAUGUGGACUUCGUGUAUACGACAACAAACAUCAAUCAACAUUGGAUGUUGAUUGCAUUCGAUCUAAAUGGAGGUCAGUUGUUUGUAUUUGAUUCACUACCGUCCAUGACAUCGAAGAAAGAGCUGGAGUCUUGCCUUGAACCAUUGACUUACACCCUACAAUCGCUUCUUCACUAUUGUGACUUCAAACGUUAGAAGUCGAACAUAGAAGCGUCUCGCUGGAAAUAUUUCGACCUACUGCUACGCACACACAGUACGAGUCGCUAGAUUGUGGA